UACGGGGGGUGCGAGCGUUGUCCGGAAUCACUGGGCGUAAAGGGCGCGUAGGUGGCCUGAUAAGGGUGUGGUGAAAGUCCGGGGCUCAACCCCCGGAUCUGCCGUGCCGACUGUUAGGCUAGAGUACUGUAGGGGGCAGGCGGAAUUCCGGGUGUAGCGGUGGAAUGCGUAGAGAUCCGGAGGAAGACCGGUGGCGAAGGCGGCCUGCUGGGCAGUUACUGACACUGAGGCGCGACAGCGUGGGGGAGCAAACAGG
rnacentral:rRNA from 1 species